rnacentral:lncRNA from 1 species
UAAAAUUUUCCAUCAGGAGUUUGCUCCAACCAACGAAUGGAAUGAUUACCAAGCUUGAGCCUGUGUAUGCCAGUCCUAGAUACUGAACCAGUAUCUGGUUCAAAACAGAGUAUCCUGAGAAAGUGCACAAAGAAGACAGUUUCAGGAGAUCGUUUAGUGUCAACGUAUCAUACUAUUUUGAUUGAAGUUCACACUAAUGAAGGAAGUACCUUGAACAUCCUACAUCAUCUGCUUUUUCAGUUGAAGGAGAACUCAGUUGUAGCAAUGAAGUCAUAGUGAAAGCAAACUGUAUGCUGUUAUCCAUAUGCUUGAACAACACGGCAUGAAUGAUUUAUGUGAGAACUCUGAGGGUAGUGAUUUUGUCUUAUUUUACUGCCUAUUAUAGAUCCAUGCAGAGUUUAGAAAGGAGAUGGCCUGAGAGAUGAUUGCUUCAGAAAGAUUUUUUUUCUUAUUUUUUGCACACAUCUAUGUCGCUUUAUAAAAUGAAUUUUAUUGGUACAUUUUAGGUAUGCAAUACAAUGACAUUCAUCAAUGGAAUUUGCACCUUUAUGCAAGCUAUCUUGGUUCGUAUUUUACCCCCAUUUCUCUGCCCUCCCUUCUCAGAAACAUACUAUGAUUGAAUGAACAUAGUGAAAAUACAUUUCAUACCCAGUUAUUGAACAAAUAGAAGCCCCAAUUAUUAUUGAUUUAAAUGUCUAUCUCUAGACUUUAUAGUUAAUCAAACUGUGCCACAGCAAAUACUGCCAAUAACAAAUGAAACAGUUAAUAGAAAUUUUUAAUUGCAAAGAAAGAAUAGCAGUAACAGAAAAGCACGGCCCAGUCAAAAAGCACUCCUGAUGCAUUACAUCUGCCACAAUAUGCAAGAACUUAAUUAUCAACAAGAG